CACAGUCAUGGUCCGCUGGGUUACUAAGUACUCUGAUCCUGUUAUGGCAACUGGAUGGCACAUGGUUAUUGGUGGUAUCCCUCUUGCGGUGAUCUCAAUUCUCAAUCAUGAUCCUGCCUUCAGUGGAAGCCUCAAGGAACUGACAGGAAGUGAUAUAUUGGCACUCCUUUAUACCUCUAUUUUUGGAAGUGCUAUUAGUUAUGGCGUAUACUUCUAUAGUGCAACAAAAGGU
rnacentral:misc_RNA from 1 species